rnacentral:hammerhead_ribozyme from 1 species
GCCUUGAUGACGAGUCCCAAACAGGACGAAACAGAUGUCCAGUGC